rnacentral:pre_miRNA from 1 species
AUGUCCCUGUACCAAGAGGGACAUGAGGACAAUCAACAGUCCAAUGUCCCUCUUAAUGGCAC